rnacentral:lncRNA from 1 species
GUGGAAACCACUUGGCUGAUCAGGCAGCUAAAGAGGCAGCACGGCAAGGAUGGGAAGUGGACAGAAGAGUGGCCACAGAUGCAUUACCUAUCUACACUAUGCAAACAUUGCCUACUGACCUCAGGCUCCUGAAGGAACAACAAGCUGCUGCUACCCCACAGGAGAAACAAAGUUGGAAGAACAAAGGAGCUGUACUCCGUGAUGAUGUUUACACUAUCAAUCUCAAGUUUUGCCUACCCAGAAAUAUGUAUCCAGCGGUGGUCCAAUGGGCCCAUGGGCCAGCCCACCUGUCAAAACUCCUGAUGAACUCGCUGAUUGACAAGUAUUUUGAAGCACCAGGCAUCACCACUUUAACACAGAAUUAUUGUAAAUCCUGUACUA